rnacentral:misc_RNA from 1 species
GUGGCAAUCACAUUCUAAGUGGCCUUAUCCAACUGAGGAAGACAAAGCACGAUUAGUGCAAGAAACAGGUUUACAACUGAAGCAGAUAAACAAUUGGUUUAUUAACCAAAGGAAAAGGAACUGGCACAGCAAUCCAUCAACGUCUUCUUCUCAGAAAAGCAAACGCAAGAGUGCAGGUGAAAUCAAGCAGUAAAAAAAAGACAUGAUGAAGAAGAAAAUGAAAUUUUUGUGUUCUAGCAAAGCAUAAAGAUUCAUCACAAAACAAAAAACAUGAAUGGCUAGAAUUUGGGAAAUUGAAUUAAUGAGUUUUUGGCUGUGUGAAGUAAUUGACCACAGAAAGUUCCCAAGCUGACCUGGUUGACUAAGAUAUGCUUUAGAAAAAAAGAGAGUAUAGAUACUUGUGAAAGUAAUACUAGCACUUUCUUAUUUUUAUGAGGUUAAUUUUCUAUGUUUUAAGCCAAAUAUUUUAGGACAACAGGUUUCAGUUUUUAUAAUUUUUGUUUUGUAUCAAGUAUUUUGGUGGCUAUGUUGUAAUUUUGAAUUCUAGUGUUACUCAUUUUUGUGAAUAGAAGUUGUAGAUUAUAAUUACUUAGUUCCGCUGCGCUGUCCUUAUACUGAUAUAUUACUUAUUCUU